rnacentral:rRNA from 1 species
AUUGAACGCUGGCGGUAUGCUUAACACAUGCAAGUCGAACGGUAACAUUAGAGUGCUUGCACUUUAGAUGACGAGUGGCGGACGGGUGAGUAAAGCAUAGGAAUCUACCUAUUAGUCAGGGAUAGCUUGUGGAAACGCAAGGUAAUACCGGAUGUGAUUUACGAAUUAAAGGCUGCGCAAGCAGUCGCUAAUAGAUGAGCCUAUGUCGGAUUAGCUAGUUGGUGGGGUAAAGGCCUACCAAGGCGACGAUCCGUAGCUGUUCUGAGAGGAAGAUCAGCCACAUUGGGACUGAGACACGGCCCAGACUCCUACGGGAGGCAGCAGUGGGGAAUAUUGGACAAUGGGGGCAACCCUGAUCCAGCAAUACCGCGUGUGUGAAGAAGGCCUGCGGGUUGUAAAGCACUUUCAGUAGUGAGGAAGGUAUAUAUUUUAAUAGAGUAUAUAUUUGACGUUAGCUACAGAAGAAGCACCGGCUAACUCUGUGCCAGCAGCCGCGGUAAUACAGAGGGUGCAAGCGUUAAUCGGAAUUACUGGGCGUAAAGAGUGCGUAGGUUGUUAUGUAAGUCAGGUGUGAAAGACUGUAGCUUAACUACAGAAUUGCGCUUGAUACUGUGUAACUAGAGUCUUGGAGAGGGCAGUGGAAUUUCCGGUGUAGCGGUGAAAUGCGUAGAUAUCGGAAGGAACACCAGAUGCGAAGGCGACUGCCUGGCCAAAGACUGACACUGAGGCACGAAAGCGUGGGUAGCAAACAGGAUUAGAUACCCUGGUAGUCCACGCCGUAAACGAUGAGAACUAGCCGUUAGAGACCAAGGUUUUUAGUAGCGCAGCUAACGCAUUAAGUUCUCCGCCUGGGGAGUACGGUCGCAAGAUUAAAACUCAAAGGAAUUGACGG